rnacentral:rRNA from 1 species
GUAGGUGGCAAGCGUUGUCCGGAAUUAUUGGGCGUAAAGCGCGCGCAGGCGGUUCUUUAAGUCUGAUGUGAAAGCCCACGGCUCAACCGUGGAGGGUCAUUGGAAACUGGAGAACUUGAGUACAGAAGAGGAAAGCGGAAUUCCACGUGUAGCGGUGAAAUGCGUAGAGAUGUGGAGGAACACCAGUGGCGAAGGCGGCUUUCUGGUCUGUAACUGACGCUGAGGCGCGAAAGCGUGGGGAGCAAACGGGGGAUUAGAUACCCUGGUAGUCCACGCCGUAAACGAUGAGUGCUAAGUGUUAGGGGGUUUCCGCCCCUUAGUGCUGCAGCUAACGCAUUAGCACUCCGCCUGGGGAGUACGGCCGCAAGGCUG